rnacentral:ribozyme from 1 species
CCAAAUAUUCGCUCUGCAAUGGGAUAGGAUUCCGAUGCCCCUCUGAGGGAUAACAUACUCCCAUCCGGACACGUCCCAAUUCGUGCAGAGUGUUAACGUGGGUCAUCGGAUAUCCAAGCUUGGGUAGACGCGCUUGCUCCAACCCCUUGGGCGGAUGAUGGUUCAUGGCUAAUCAGAAGGGG